rnacentral:rRNA from 1 species
GUGCCUACGGGGGGCAGCAGUGGGGAAUAUUGCACAAUGGGGGAAACCCUGAUGCAGCGACGCCGCGUGAAGGAUGAAGUAUUUCGGUAUGUAAACUUCUAUCAGCAGGGAAGAAAAUGACGGUACCUGACUAAGAAGCCCCGGCUAACUACGUGCCAGCAGCCGCGGUAAUACGUAGGGGGCAAGCGUUAUCCGGAUUUACUGGGUGUAAAGGGAGCGUAGACGGCAUGGCAAGUCUGAUGUGAAAGCCCGGGGCUCAACCCCGGUACUGCAUUUGAAACUGUCCAGCUGGAGUGCAGGAGAGG